rnacentral:rRNA from 1 species
GAUGAACGCUGGCGGCGUGCCUAAUACAUGCAAGUCGAGCGAACGGACGAGAAGCUUGCUUCUCUGAUGUUAGCGGCGGACGGGUGAGUAACACGUGGAUAACCUACCUAUAAGACUGGGAUAACUUCGGGAAACCGGAGCUAAUACCGGAUAAUAUUUUGAACCGCAUGGUUCAAAAGUGAAAGACGGUCUUGCUGUCACUUAUAGAUGGAUCCGCGCUGCAUUAGCUAGUUGGUAAGGUAACGGCUUACCAAGGCAACGAUGCAUAGCCGACCUGAGAGGGUGAUCGGCCACACUGGAACUGAGACACGGUCCAGACUCCUACGGGAGGCAGCAGUAGGGAAUCUUCCGCAAUGGGCGAAAGCCUGACGGAGCAACGCCGCGUGAGUGAUGAAGGUCUUCGGAUCGUAAAACUCUGUUAUUAGGGAAGAACAUAUGUGUAAGUAACUGUGCACAUCUUGACGGUACCUAAUCAGAAAGCCACGGCUAACUACGUGCCAGCAGCCGCGGUAAUACGUAGGUGGCAAGCGUUAUCCGGAAUUAUUGGGCGUAAAGCGCGCGUAGGCGGUUUUUUAAGUCUGAUGUGAAAGCCCACGGCUCAACCGUGGAGGGUCAUUGGAAACUGGAAAACUUGAGUGCAGAAGAGGAAAGUGGAAUUCCAUGUGUAGCGGUGAAAUGCGCAGAGAUAUGGAGGAACACCAGUGGCGAAGGCGACUUUCUGGUCUGUAACUGACGCUGAUGUGCGAAAGCGUGGGGAUCAAACAGGAUUAGAUACCCUGGUAGUCCACGCCGUAAACGAUGAGUGCUAAGUGUUAGGGGGUUUCCGCCCCUUAGUGCUGCAGCUAACGCAUUAAGCACUCCGCCUGGGGAGUACGACCGCAAGGUUGAAACUCAAAGGAAUUGACGGAGACCCGCACAAGCGGUGGAGCAUGUGGUUUAAUUCGAAGCAACGCGAAGAACCUUACCAAAUCUUGACAUCCUUUGACAACUCUAGAGAUAGAGCUUUCCCCUUCGGGGGACAAAGUGACAGGUGGUGCAUGGUUGUCGUCAGCUCGUGUCGUGAGAUGUUGGGUUAAGUCCCGCAACGAGCGCAACCCUUAAGCUUAGUUGCCAUCAUUAAGUUGGGCACUCUAAGUUGACUGCCGGUGACAAACCGGAGGAAGGUGGGGAUGACGUCAAAUCAUCAUGCCCCUUAUGAUUUGGGCUACACACGUGCUACAAUGGACAAUACAAAGGGCAGCGAAACCGUGAGGUCAAGCAAAUCCCAUAAAGUUGUUCUCAGUUCGGAUUGUAGUCUGCAACUCGACUACAUGAAGCUGGAAUCGCUAGUAAUCGUAGAUCAGCAUGCUACGGUGAAUACGUUCCCGGGUCU